UACGUAGGGUGCAAGCGUUGUCCGGAAUUAUUGGGCGUAAAGAGCUCGUAGGCGGUCCGUCACGUCGGGCGUGAAAACCCAGGGCUCAACCCUGGGCCUGCGUUCGAUACGGGCGGACUAGAGUUCGGUAGGGGAGGACUGGAAUUCCUGGUGUAGCGGUGAAAUGCGCAGAUAUCAGGAGGAACACCAGUGGCGAAGGCGGGUCUCUGGGCCGAUACUGACGCUGAGGAGCGAAAGCGUGGGGAGCGAACAGG
rnacentral:rRNA from 1 species